AUGCCUUGUGAGGUCAGGGAGAAAACCCUCGUCGCUUGGUCUCGUGAACGAGAGGCGGCGGCGACCAGAUCUAGAACUCCUCCGCUGUCCAGCGCUCCGCCCUUCUUCGUCCAACGCUCCACCGUCCCCCGGCCCUCCUCCGGCAACUGGAAGUGGUGCACCCCCCAUCUCCCUCCACCUCCACGCUCCGCCCCUCUGGCGGGGGCGACGGCGACCGAGGUCGUCACCUCUAGAUCUCUCUCCGCCUUGAAGUUCCCUCACCUCCGGCAAAGACGACGGCCAGGAGGUCAUCCUCUUUCACCAAGGUGCCUUGACAUUAUAAGUGUUUUGCUUUAUCCGAAGACGUUGUUUUCAAUUGCUUGGUGCCUUUCAAUUUGUCGUUCAUUGAGAAUAUUUCACUCGGAACAAGAAAGAAUGUUCUUAAUUCUGUUUAUACACAACGUAAUCUAUGGCAGCGCCUAG
rnacentral:rRNA from 1 species